rnacentral:rRNA from 2 species
GCUAGUAGGUGGGGUAACGGCUCACCUAGGCGACGAUCCCUAGCUGGUCUGAGAGGAUGACCAGCCACACUGGAACUGAGACACGGUCCAGACUCCUACGGGAGGCAGCAGUGGGGAAUAUUGCACAAUGGGCGCAAGCCUGAUGCAGCCAUGCCGCGUGUAUGAAGAAGGCCUUCGGGUUGUAAAGUACUUUCAGCGGGGAGGAA